UACAGGGGGGGCAAGCGUUGUUCGGAAUUACUGGGCGUAAAGGGCUCGUAGGCGGCCGGCUAAGUCCGACGUGAAAUCCCCAGGCUUAACCUGGGAACUGCGUCGGAUACUGGCGGGCUUGAAUCCGGGAGAGGGAUGCGGAAUUCCAGGUGUAGCGGUGAAAUGCGCAGAUAUCGGGAGGAACACCAGCGGCGAAGGCGGCACUCUGGGCUGGAACUGACGCUGAGGAGCGAAAGCGUGGGUAGCAAACAGG
rnacentral:rRNA from 1 species